AUUGAACGCUGGCGGCAGGCCUAACACAUGCAAGUCGAGCGGAUGAGAAGAGCUUGCUCUUCGAUUCAGCGGCGGACGGGUGAGUAAUGCCUAGGAAUCUGCCUGGUAGUGGGGGACAACGUUUCGAAAGGAACGCUAAUACCGCAUACGUCCUACGGGAGAAAGCAGGGGACCUUCGGGCCUUGCGCUAUCAGAUGAGUCUAGGUCGGAUUAGCUAGUUGGUGAGGUAAUGGCUCACCAAGGCGACGAUCCGUAACUGGUCUGAGAGGAUGAUCAGUCACACUGGAACUGAGACACGGUCCAGACUCCUACGGGAGGCAGCAGUGGGGAAUAUUGGACAAUGGGCGAAAGCCUGAUCCAGCCAUGCCGCGUGUGUGAAGAAGGUCUUCGGAUUGUAAAGCACUUUAAGUUGGGAGGAAGGGCAGUAAGUUAAUACCUUGCUGUUUUGACGUUACCGACAGAAUAAGCACCGGCUAACUCUGUGCCAGCCGCCGCAGUAAAAC
rnacentral:rRNA from 1 species